rnacentral:rRNA from 1 species
UAUCCGGAUUUAUUGGGUUUAAAGGGUGCGUAGGCGGUUUGAUAAGUUAGAGGUGAAAUACCGGUGCUUAACACCGGAACUGCCUCUAAUACUGUUGAACUAGAGAGUAGUUGCGGUAGGCGGAAUGUAUGGUGUAGCGGUGAAAUGCUUAGAGAUCAUACAGAACACCGAUUGCGAAGGCAGCUUACCAAACUAUAUCUGACGUUGAGGCACGAAAGCGUGGGGAGCAAACAGGAUUAGAUACCCUGGUAGUCCACGCAGUAAACGAUGAUAACUCGCUGUCGGCGAUACACAGUCGGCGGCUAAGCGAAAGCGAUAAGUUAUCCACCUGGGGAGUACGUUCGCAAGAAUGAAACUCAAAGGAAUUGACGGGGGCCCGCACAAGCGGAGGAACAUGUGGUUUAAUUCGAUGAUACGCGAGGAACCUUACCCGGGCUUGAAAGUUACUGACGAUUCUGGAAACAGGAUUUCCCUUCGGGGCAGGAAACUAGGUGCUGCAUGGUUGUCGUCAGCUCGUGCCGUGAGGUGUCGGGUUAAGUCCCAUAACGAGCGCAACCCCUACCGUUAGUUGCCAUCAGGUCAAGCUGGGCACUCUGGCGGGACUGCCGGUGUAAGCCGAGAGGAAGGUGGGGAUGACGUCAAAUCAGCACGGCCCUUACGUCCGGGGCUACACACGUGUUACAAUGGUAGGUACAGAGGGCAGCUACCCAGUGAUGGGAUGCGAAUCUCGAAAGCCUAUCUCAGUUCGGAUCGGAGGCUGAAACCCGCCUCCGUGAAGUUGGAUUCGCUAGUAAUCGCGCAUCAGCCAUG